GAAACCUUUCCCCCUCUCUUCUUUCUUGCGGAAAAUUCUCCCUUUCUACCUGAGUGACUUUUCCGAGCGUCACAGUUCAUUGACCUCCUUUGGUGGGGCAACUUGGCAAAUAUAAAAUUUAUUUUUAAAAAUUAACCAGAAUUUAAUUUUUCAAAUAGUUUAAUUAUUUUAUUUAAAUUUAAUUGAAAUUAAUUAUCAAUAUUCAAAAUAAAUUCACUUUGUGCCUCGUACAACAGAUUAAAGGUUUUUCGAUUGAGAAGAAUAUUUCGAUUACAGAAAGACAUUACACCACAGUCUUGAAGACAUUGAAGAAGGAACAAUUCUCCAAAGGACAAAAAAAAUUUGCAGAUCUGCCCGGAAAUUUCGCUUUCAAGACCAUAGGAAAAGAGAAACAGAAAAUGAAGGGGAUGUGCAAGAAUUUUCCGCAAUGCAACCCAUUUUUCGAGAUUUGGAUCAUCUCUUCGUCCUGAAUAAAUAUUGAAGACUUUUUGUUAUCUCAACAAGCAUCGGUGAGAGACAACGAGGAAAAUUCGCCGAGUGUUACGAAUUUUUGUUAAAAAAAUUAAAAUAUGUUGUCUUCUUUGUAAUAUACAGUGAAUUUGUGUUAUUAUUUAUGUAGCUAGAGAUUUCGAAAAAAAUUAUUGUAUUAGCUAGGAAAUGAAAAAUGUUAGUAGUUUUAAGCAAUUUAAUUUCAACUAAAAUACAAGAGGAACAACAACAUUCAAUCACAGAAGAUGUGGAGUAAGUAAAAAGGUACCGAAAUUUUAAUUUAUUUAUUAAAUUUUACUUGUACCAAUUACUGCCAAAAUAUAAAAAGUAUUUUUAUUUUACAAAAUUAAAAAUUUCCAACUUUCAAUAAUCUUAGAGUAAAAAUAUUUCUUGAGACUAUAAUUGAAGUGAUAAGAUUAAAAAAUGCAUCUUUAAAUAAUUUUUGAAUACUGUAAUAACGCAGUAAUUGGUACAAUUCCCAAGUGAGUAAAAGACCUUUUACAGUAGAACUGAUUCUAAACUGAAUCCUUUUUAUUAAUUUUUUUUUUAAUGAAAGAAUUUUUGUCUCCUUAAUAAAUUAAGCCACCGGAUAGUACAGCCAUGCUUAAAAUUCUGAUGGCCUUUUACUUCCGUGACAUUCAAAAACUAAGUUGAAAAAAACUUUUUUCAAAUGUUUUUUUAUUUAGUUCCUAUAAGUAAUAACAACAUUUUUUUUAUCUUAAUUUUUUUUAUGCAAAACUUAAUUUUUUGAUCCAAAAAUCAAGUUAAAAAAAUGUUUCUGUAAAUAUUAAAAACAAAUUUUUGAACUUAAUUUUUUGAUGUCAGGAGCCCAAAGUUGUCACAUUUGCAAAAAAAUUCAUUAAAUUGACAGAUUUUAUAUCUGCAUUUUUUUCUAAUUAAGAUUAAUUUUUUUUAAAUUACUUUAAGUUUGAUGUUUUGUUGGAAUAAUAUUGGAAUUGUUUAAAAUACAAAUUUUAUUUACUCACUUUAUAUUUAUAAUUUUAAAAAUUAAAAAUGAUCAACAAGCUUUGAACGUUGUAAUGAAUGAAAUAAUUAUUGUUAAAAAGAUUUUUAUAAAUUGCUAAUUGUAAUAAUAAAUAAAAACACAGAUUUUAAAUUCAGAAACUCAAUAAUUAAUUUUCUUUUUGUAGUUUAUGCAAAAUUAUUGUAAUAAACAUUUAAUUUUAAAAAGAAAUAAAUAAUUUCGUUCAUUUGAAUGUUCAAAAAGUUUAGGAUCAUAAUAAGUAAGAUUGACAAGUUUUAUUUUUAGUAAUGUAAAUGUUUUAAUAAAUAUUUGAUUUGAUGAAUAUUUAGUAGCAUUAUUCAAAGUUAAAUAGUUAAAAGA